rfam:Asian citrus Psyllid, Diaphorina citri - Florida Strain, whole genome shotgun sequence.
GGCCGAGUGGGUAUCACGCUUGGCUUGCACACAGGAUGCCCGGGUUCGAUUCCCGGCAGGGCCG